rnacentral:rRNA from 1 species
GAUGAACGCUGGCGGCGUGCCUAACACAUGCAAGUCGAGCGAGAAAUAUAUAAUGGAGGCUUCGGCCGGAGUUAUAUAUUGAAAGCGGCGGACGGGUGAGUAACGCGUGGGUAACCUGCCCUAUACAGGGAGAUAACAACGAGAAAUUGUUGCUAAUACCGCAUAAGCGCACAGUAUUGCAUAAUACAGUGUGAAAAACUCCGGUGGUAUAGGAUGGACCCGCGUCUGAUUAGCUAGUUGGUAAGGUAAAGGCUUACCAAGGCGACGAUCAGUAGCCGACCUGAGAGGGUGAUCGGCCACAUUGGGACUGAGACACGGCCCAAACUCCUACGGGAGGCAGCAGUGGGGAAUAUUGCACAAUGGGGGAAACCCUGAUGCAGCAACGCCGCGUGAAGGAAGAAAGUCUUCGGAUUGUAAACUUCUAUCAGCAGGGAAGAAAAUGACGGUACCUGACUAAGAAGCCCCGGCUAACUACGUGCCAGCAGCCGCAGUAAUAC